ACUCAGAACUUUGGGGUUUGGCUGCACAGGUGACCACCAGAGACCCUCGAUGGAGCCCUUCAGAGACCUUAUAAGGAUUUGUGUAUAUGGGAACAGGGGUUGGGGAAUGUCCUGGAUAUGUAACAGGAAUGCAGGGAGUGAAAAUGAACAGUCCUGUAGUGCUGC